GAAUAUUGCGCAAUGGAGGGAACUCUGACGCAGCGACGCCGCGUGAGCGAUGAAGNUUNNCGGAUNGNAAAGCUCUGUCCUUGNNNNNGAAGGUCUUCGGACUUGACGGUACCUAAGGAGGAAGCCCCGGCUAACUACGUGCCAGCAGCCGCGGUAAUACGUAGGGGGCAAGCGUUGUCCGGAAUUAUUGGGCGUAAAGGGUGCGUAGGCGGCCUUUUAAGUCAGGUGUGAAAGCCCACGGCUUAACCGUGGGAUUGCAUUUGAAACUGGAAGGCUUGAGUAUCGGAGAGGGUAGUGGAAUUCCCAGUGUAGCGGUGGAAUGCGUAGAUAUUGGGAGGAACACCAGUGGCGAAGGCGACUACCUGGACGAAAACUGACGCUGAGGCACGAAAGCUAGGGGAGCAAACA
rnacentral:rRNA from 1 species